rnacentral:lncRNA from 1 species
GAUGAAGUUCCAAGAGGUUUAGAACCUUUGUUGUCUCACUUUCUCUAGAGAAUAGCGAUUUUAUAGUGGUUAGUCCACCUAUUUUGGAAUAUUACGAAGUUUUACUAAAUUAUUUGAUAAAAAAAAUAAAAAAAAUGUCUAUGUACCAUGAAAGAGAGGUUAAUAUAUAUUAACACUAAUAUGGAAUGUGUUUAUAAAUUUUAAAACAACACUACAUAUCAUUGGCUUCAGUUUAUAGAGCAUUUACUGAAAAACUUAAUAUUUUCGUAGGGGUUAACACAUAGAUUUUGAGAAAAAAUUAAAAAUAUAACAAUAUUGUUUUAAUGCAUAGUUGCAUCCUG